GACGAACGCUGGCGGCGUGCUUAACACAUGCAAGUCGAACGGAAAGGCCCUGCUUUUGUGGGGUGCUCGAGUGGCGAACGGGUGAGUAACACGUGAGUAACCUGCCCUUGACGUGGGGAUAACUUCAGGAAACUGGGGCUAAUACCGGAUAGGAGCUCCUGCUGCAUGGUGGGGGUUGGAAAGUUUCGGCGGUUGGGGAUGGACGCGCGGCUUAUCAGCUUGUUGGUGGGGUAGUGGCUUACCAAGGCUUUGACGGGUAGCCGGCCUGAGAGGGUGACCGGCCACAUUGGGACUGAGAUACGGCCCAGACUCAUACGGGAGGCAGCAGUGGGGAAUAGUGCACAAUGGGCGGAAGCCGGAUGCAGCAACGCCGCGUGCGGGAUGACGGCCUUCGGGUUGUAAACCGCUUUCGCCUGUGACGAAGCGUGAGUGACGGUAAUGGGUAAAGAAGCACCGGCUAACUACGUG
rnacentral:rRNA from 1 species